rnacentral:tRNA from 1 species
GCUCGAGGUUGAUCGACAGGAUCCCCGCGUUGAAGGUGCGGGCGGUGAGGUUCGACUCGUCGUGCAGGCG